GUCUACGGCCACACCACCCUGAAUGCGCCCAAUCUCGUCUGAUCUCGGAAGCUGGGCAGGGUCGGGCCUGGUUAGCACUGGAUGGGAGAAUGUGACAAUAAUGCCACGUCUCCAGAAGGGUUGCUGUGGGGU
rnacentral:rRNA from 1 species